rnacentral:rRNA from 2 species
CAGUCGAGCGAAUGGAUUGAGAGCUUGCUCUCAAGAAGUUAGCGGCGGACGGGUGAGUAACACGUGGGUAACCUGCCCAUAAGACUGGGAUAACUCCGGGAAACCGGGGCUAAUACCGGAUAACAUUUUGAACCGCAUGGUUCGAAAUUGAAAGGCGGCUUCGGCUGUCACUUAUGGAUGGACCCGCGUCGCAUUAGCUAGUUGGUGAGGUAACGGCUCACCAAGGCAACGAUGCGUAGCCGACCUGAGAGGGUGAUCGGCCACACUGGGACUGAGACACGGCCCAGACUCCUACGGGAGGCAGCAGUAGGGAAUCUUCCGCAAUGGACGAAAGUCUGACGGAGCAACGCCGCGUGAGUGAUGAAGGCUUUCGGGUCGUAAAACUCUGUUGUUAGGGAAGAACAAGUGCUAGUUGAAUAAGCUGGCACCUUGACGGUACCUAACCAGAAAGCCACGGCUAACUACGUGCCAGCAGCCGCGGUAAUACGUAGGUGGCAAGCGUUAUCCG